rnacentral:sRNA from 1 species
UGGAACCACGACCUGCAGUUCUCGAAAGAAAUCGCUGCGCAAUAUGUCUCCGCGAUUCUGUUUCGGUGAUGGUACGCCGUCAGAAACCGAGGAAUGCGUAAAUACCAAGCGUGCUGAGGUAUCAGAGCAUCUUCAACUGGUUCUACAAUCUGUCGAUCAACAAUUGACAAUCAACUCAAGAGCCCAUACUGACAAAAAAAAAAAAAAAACCCACACUGUCACCAGUCAUCCCACUCUCACCAUGUCAGGGGUUCAUCGGAGUGAAAAAGUGAGACAUAGAACAGCCACCAGCCAUGACCCCCAGCGA